GUGAGUCAUCGAAUCUUUGAACGCACAUUGCGCCCGCCAGUAUUCUGGCGGGCAUGCCUGUUCGAGCGUCAUUUCAACCAUCAAGCCCCCGGGCUUGUGUUGGGGACCUGCGGCUGCCGCAGGCCCUGAAAAACAGUGGCGGGCUCGCUAGUCACUCCGAGCGUAGUAGUUACAUCUCGCUCAGGGCGUGCUGCGGGUUCCGGCCGUUAAAAGCCUUUUACCCCAAGGUUGACCUCGGAUCAGGUAGGAAGACCCGCUGAACUUAAGCAUAUCAAUAAGCGGAGGA
rnacentral:misc_RNA from 1 species